UACGGAGGGUGCAAGCGUUAUCCGGAUUCACUGGGUUUAAAGGGUGCGUAGGCGGGCAGGUAAGUCCGUGGUGAAAUCUCUGAGCUUAACUCCGAAACUGCAUUUGAUACUGCGGUGCUUGAGGACUGGAGAGGAGACUGGAAUUUACGGUGUAGCAGUGAAAUGCGUAGAGAUCGUAAGGAAGACCAGUGGCGAAGGCGGGUCUCUGGACAGUUCCUGACACUGAGGCACGAAGGCCAGGGGAGCAAACGGG
rnacentral:rRNA from 1 species